GCCAUUUCAGGUAUGUUCUGUAUCCAAGGAACCCACAUAGAAUACACAGGAGCCAUGGCACACCUGCUCCCUUUUGAGGCAAGUGGCUUGGGGCCAAGGAGGUUACCCUAAAGCACGGAGUGUUACUACAUGCCUACAUGGUUGGAAACCAUCAUAUCAUAUGCAUGGCCAAGAAAGCCAGUCAAGCCUGUCACAAUCUGAAAGUCUCUCUUGGAAGUGUUUUGGCACUGAAGACAUGCUGAAUGGAAGCCAAUUGGAAGUGUCAUCCAAACAAGACACAACCAAACAGACAAGACGUGGCCAUCUGCACUGGAGUAAAAAGCAGGACAUUUGAUGGAUUCUUGGGAGAUGCCAGUUAUUCUGCCACUGCACAUGACCCAGAGAAUAUAGCAUUGUAUCACAGAGAAUGCAUAAAAUGACACAAGCUGAACUUGAAGUAGAGGAAAAAUUACACAUUGGCCUUCUGAACAUGGAUGGAUUUCAACUCUCCCAUUUCCUUUAAGUGUUUCAGCUCACAUGUCUGAGUGAUCCAUUAAGUAUCAAUUCUGUUCCAUAACUGGAUGACUCUGACCCUUGGGAAGAACGUUAAGUCAUACUUUCUGAAAAUUACUAGCAUGACAUUUCCAUUCUGAAUAUAAACUUCCAAAGGUGAAAAAGGUGUAGAGUAUAUUACAAAGUGUACAAAAACAUGAAGUUGAUUCUACAGUGAGGGGGAAAAAAUAAAAAAAUUAAAAAAAAAAAAUAAUCA
rnacentral:lncRNA from 1 species